CCUGUACAUCUGGCCAAGCCAGGUGUGAAAACUCUCGCCUCGGUGUUCACUGCACGUUGAGGACGCCAUCCCGUCACCGCGUAGCGGUGAGGGUCUUGUAAUCAGGGUGAAGUCAAAAUGCACGUCAAUAUGGUUCGGCUGAAGUUAAUUGUUUUUGCGCUUGUGGGUACAUGCUUAUGUCAAUAUCCAGUUGUGCAUUCAUCUGGCCAAACAAGAACUUCUGUUUCAAAUCAGAUAAAACCGACAACAUAUUCUUCAUAUCAAGCUAAACCAAAUAACUGGCCACAAUAUGGAUCUACUCAAACUUGGAACAAGUACAACAGUGUCAAUGAUAGGAAAACGUGGGGAAAUUCAUAUUCACGUAAUGUGCAAAGUAAUUCAUAUUCACGUAAUGUGCAAAGUAAUUCAUAUUCACGUAAUGUGCAAAGUAAAUCAUAUUCACGUAAUGUGCAAAGUAAUUCGUUGAAAACGAACAAGGGAUAUACAAAAUCGCAGACUAAGUACAAGAAAGAAAAACUGAAGACAAAGCCUUCUCACUAUAGACUUAGGUCUGUCGGCAGAUCGUUGGUUGAACAAUACAUUCAACAGUUUAUGCCCUGGGAGACAUGUAAGGCGCUCAUAGGAAACUUCGUUGAUGACGUGUUCAAUCCGACGUCCAUCUUCGCAACCACAUUCGUCGAUGAAGGGAUUGAUAACCUUUGCGGUAAUACAUUGUUUGCGAUGGUAGAGCCACUAUUCGAGCCCUUUACAGACAAACUUUUCGAAGCAAUACAUCUAGCGAGAGAUCAGGAAUGAGCGGAUUUAUAUUUGAUUGCAAUAGUUAUCGUAUUCAAAUCGACAUCGCCAUUUGGUUUAAUGCUUGAAUGAUUUUGAAUGCCGAUGACUCUUUCGGGAUUCGCAAAAUGCGAUAAGAUUGUUCUGUCCCAAAUUUACUAUGUUGAAUUCACUAAAUAACACGGUAGAAGUUGCCAGAGUAUAAUCAUGAUGUACAUGCACCAUUGUAGGUAAAAUUAAGCAAUGAUGUCAUCCUCCUUGUAACCAACAUAGAAAAAUAAAUAAAUAACAUCAACAUCUUUAGGUUAUUUUUGAGCGAUUCUCAAAUAUUUUGUCAUUGUGUCAUGUAUAACUGAAAUCAAUUGUAUUUACGUGACGAGAAGUUCUCUAGUGUAUGAGACAUUCCAAAUCAUUAACGAUAAUUAGAGUUUAUAUCGUAUUUUGAUAUUGAUAUUUUGUAAUUGGCCAACAAAGUGUCAUGAUGCAAUCCAAACGAAGCUUUUAGAUAAAUCUUUGUUUAACAUAAUGUUCUGAAUUUUUGAAAAGCUCCAAAUUCAAUUAAAUAAAUAAAUAUUCUACAUCGCCAACACAGAGUAUUCAUGAUUUCUUGAAAACAACAAUUGUCUGUUAUCUAUAUUUUAUCUAUGGUAUUCUAUCUAUCUACAAUACCAAAAGCUACAUACGAUAUUACCACCUUGCUGAAGUUUGAACUUCACUUUUAAUAUAUUUUUUUGAAUUCGAAAUUGAUAAAUAAUUGCAUCUAAACUUUAAUAAAUUUUUACCUCUACAUACUGAUAAGUAAUUUUCAGUCUAAUUAACGACUAUUUAUGGACGCAGUCCUUUUUGUGAUCAGCAGUGCAUACGAUGUCGGCUCUGUAGCAUAUCUUAACUUUAAGCAAAAUCUUAAUAAGCACAUAUAUUUAUUCUGAGCAUUUCACUAGUAACAUUCAGAGUAAUUGCGUUUUGCUAAUUUUGUCAGUAGUGUGAGUUCAUUUCUUAUGUAUUGUUUGAAAACGUUUAUACUCCUUUUACCCUUCUGUUUGCAUAUAUCUGUAUCAUGGAAUAAGCACUAAUGGCUACAAUAUGUAAAUUAUGUAAUUUGCUCUCAACAACUAUUGUGUCUGUAUAGGAUAAUAUGAUGUGUUUUAUUGUGAAUACUGUAUGGUUGGUAAUAUUUGAGGGUAUUCAAUUAUCUCUAUAUUGGCGUCGAUAAUAUACUCCACGAAAAUACACAAAUAUGUAGAAUUGUUUACUGCAAUACGUUUACAAGACGUGGUUGUGCGAAAUUUAAUAUCCGCAAACUAGGUCCGACUCGGCCAAUCGCAAAAUUUUGAUUUAGUUGGUUUCUUUACAGACAAAAGGGGAAUAACUAUGUCUGAAACAUAUGUAACAGCUAAAAUUUGAAUAGAAUAUGUGUCGACAAUAUGAUGUUUUGAAAAUGUUAUUAUUUUUUUUGUGUAGAAAUACACAAAGCUUACUAUUUUGAAUUAUGCUUGCCAGUAUUAAAGUUUACCAAUACUUUUCUUAACAAUAGAGAUACUGUAAUACGUACAUGUAUGUAAAAAUCAAAGGAUACCUGAGAAUAUUUCCCAUAUGUUAAGAUCGUAUCACCUAUAGGAUUCAAAUGUAGAAAAAAUGGUUGAAACUGAAAUGCUUAAAUAUAAAAUAUAUAAAGGCCUGUAUAUAAUUGAUUAGAACAAAAUCAAUUCUUUUUUAUCCCUUUACAACUCUUUAAGAAAAACCAUUUCUAUAGGCAUAUUGGUUAUUUGUAUUUUGGUUAUUUGUAUACGAAUGUGUUUGAUUUAAACGCUUUAAUGGAAUUAAACAUGAUUCAGCUAAAAAAAGUUGUGUACAUCAAAGAAACACUAAUCUUUUUAUCUAUUUAUUCAACUGUACAUCUAGAAAUGGUAUUAGAUACAGCUUUAAGAUACCAACUCAGGGUAAAAGCUCACUAGAUUGGUGAUACUAGAGUUAUUAUGUGAAAAAAAUAAUGAAAUGAUGGACAUGUCGCCUCGAAAAUGUAGCGUAAACAAGUGACACUUUAGUCUAAAUGAUUUUAUAUUUAUAUCUCGUUAUUUUCAGCAUUGCUUGAUCAACUUGAGUGUACCUAUAUUAAUCACUCAUCCUAGACAACAAUAAUUGAAUAAUCGAAUAAACAAGAAAAACAAAUGAUACAUUAGUAAAAUCAUCGAUAUUCGUGAACAUCAGAAAUGUCUCCACUGAAAUUUUGUUUUGCUUAAGAUUAUAAUGGGAAUAUUGUGUGAAAUUUAUUAUAUUCGUCAAAAGAAAUAUUACCGACAUUUAUUGAAAGAAUUGAGAUAAUUUUACAUGGAACUUAAAAAGCAAAAUGCAUUCCAAACUAACAGCAAGAAUUAACAAUAGUUUAUAAUAUUUAUGCGUCAAUGGUAAAAAAUUAAGCAUGUUAGGACAAUUAUUUAAUAACGAUGGCGUCUGGGUCAGUUAAGAGAUUAAUGAUAGAUAUAAAUAAAAAUAUACACCAAGAACACCUUUUUCCAUUUUAGAGUAUUACAUGUAACUACAUCGUAUUUUAAGUAGGGUAUUGAUUUACAUGACGUAAUAUGUCUGAUAUUUUAUAUGUACGACUAUAUUCAGAGAAAUCACGGGAUGAAUAUUUGGCUUAUUAUUUUAUAGGCAGGAUAUGCCAGGACAUAGGCUUCGUAUGCGUCAGUUCAACACUGUUUGAAAAACGUUUGAUCAUGAGCGUUGAAAAUUAAACAAUUUGCUUAAAAUAUGUGAACAUACCCAUGUUAUAACUGUAUUGAAACCUUCUAUUAGAGUAAACCUGUACAUAACUUACAUAUAUGAUGUCAUUCAUAUAGUUUUUAUGUAGAGUUUAUGCUAAGAAAUAAAAAACAUAUAUACAGAAAAGAAUCAUUAUACCAAGUUAAUCGGGCAAUGAGAACAGAAAGUUAAUAUGAAAACAUUACAAUAUCAAUAGGCAUGAUAUAUCCUUUUCAAAAUUGAGCUCAAUUUAACAAUUUUUUUCGGAUUAGGCUAUGACGAUCUUCAAUAUAUCUUCAUAAGAUUUAAUUAAGAAAACAACUUGGAUGAAUAUUUUAAAUUGAUUAUUAAGAUGAAUACGUCAGCUUAACCCACAAUGUUUCCUGAAUGUGAUGUGUAAUCGAAAUAAAAUAGCAUGUGACUGUGAUUCGUGUGUAUUUCUUUGUUAAUAAAUGUUUUAUUAAUCAA